GCCUCACGUUUAGUGACAUAUCCCCCAUGGAACGAGCGCUCUGCCCUAAAACCCCAGGACGGCAGUGAAGAGAGCAACCAACAGCAUCACACUAAAUAUUUUAUCGCCACCGCCGCCCCAGCCUCAUCACCGCCGGCCAUCACCACCACAGCAGUGGCUGGCGGCGUCCACCAGUACUUUCUCUAUUCGAUUUUUCUUCUUUAGAGGCUUACACAUACACAUACACAUACACAGGCGUACACGCAUAUAGAUAGCUCGCCGAGUUUCAGCUUCGGGAUUGGAAUGGGCUCGUCAAAUAUCAGAGACCUAUUGACUUCGUUUAGCCCCUCCUUGGACUUCUUUGCUCUCAGUUCCGGCGACGGUCGAAUCAAGAUAUGGGAUGUUGCGAAGGGCCAAAUCCAGACUGAGUUUGCGGAUAUUGUGUCCACUGGGGAAACUAAUUUGUUUGGUAAACCACAAAAGGGUCACCUUUCUGUUGAUUACACAUGCAUGAAGUGGUUAUCUUUAGACAAAAAGAAAAAAAGGAAGCUGGGAAGUUCAUUGUUGGUGUUGGGGACAGGCAGCGGUGACGUUCUGGGUCUGGAUGUAUCUGCUGGUCAAUUGAAGUGGAGGGUUAGUGACUGCCAUCCUGGGGGUGUGACUGCCAUUUCGUUCCCCACAUGUGAUUCAUACGUAUAUUCGGCUGGUGUAGAUGGGGUUGUCUGCAAACUAGAUUCCAGGACAGGAAACUUGCUAGAGAAAUUCAGAGCUUCCACAAAGGGAAUACAUUCAAUGUCUGUUUCGUCAGAUGGGAAAUUGUUGGCAACUGCUGCUGCUCAGUUGAAGGUUUUUAGUUGUUCAGAUCAUAAGAAGAUGCAGAAGUUUUCAGGCCAUCCUGGGGCUAUUAGGUGUAUAAUCUUCACUGAUGAUGGGAGAUAUAUUCUUUCUUCUUCUGCCGCCGAACGUUAUGUUGCAGUUUGGAAACUUGAUGGCAGCAAAAAGCAGUCAGCCUGCUGUGUACUGGCAAUGGAUCACCCUGCUGUUUUUCUGGAUAGCAAGUGCAUUGACACUGGCAAUGUAGAUGCUUCAGAUUUCUCUGUCUUGGCCAUAUCGGAAAUGGGAAUCUGUUACUUUUGGUAUGGAAAUGAUAUUGAGGAAUUACGCAAUUGCAAGCCCACAAAAGUCUCCUUAUCUCUUGAUGACCAAUACUUUAAGAGUCAGAAGGGUGCAAUGCCUACUAUAUUUGCUGCAAAAUUACUAGGCAAGGCCAAACCUGCAUCUGGGCACAUAUUUUUGGCCCACGGUUUGCUAUUAAAGCCGUUGUUUGAAAAAAUCUUAGUGCAUUCUGGCACAGAUUUGAAAUUAAGCAGUUCUCUUGAUGGAAUCCUUCUACCUAUCAGUCAGUCUCACAAGUUUAGAAAAGAGUCACAUGUACAUAAUGAAACUAGUGCACUAGACCGUGCAAAUGCAGAAGAUGCUAUGCACCCAAUUCCUAAGAUAUUUGAUUUUCAUGACAAAAAGAAAAGAGAUCCAAAGUUGAAACUUAUCACUGAUGGCAUGAUGGCUGAUGAUUUGGUCAACAGCAGCUGGCAAGCUCAGUUGGAGGCGAAGAGAGCAGAUGAAAUGGACAACGUUGAAGAUGUUCCUAGUAUUUGUAUGGAGGACCGGCUUAGGACCUUGGGAAUACUUGACAAUAAACAGGAUUACAUGUCUGAUAAAAUAAUUGAUUCAACAAAGUUGAUGGGCAUCGAUAUUAACGCUGAUCUGCCACAGAAGAAGGUGAGGGCAGCUAUUUCAUCCAUGGUACCUAGUGAUGCUUACAAGUUAUUGGAAGUCAUGGUGGCCAUGUGGCAGUCAAGAUCAUGGAGUGGAAAGUAUGCUCUUCCUUGGAUUGGUUGUAUAUUGGUGAAUCAUAGUGAUUAUGUAAUAUCUCAAGAACCAGUGACACAAUUGCUGGAUUCUUUACACAAGCUUACCAAGUCCAAGGGAGCAUCUAUCCAGUCUUUAUUGCAGUUGUCUGGCCGUUUGCAUCUCGUAACAGCACAGCAGAUUGACAAGGCUGUUCAAAAUGAAGGUCAUAGCUUUCUUCAUGAUCACCAGAUGGAUGAGAGUGAUGAUGAUGAUGAUGUGGAGGAAUAUCUUUAUGGUGAAGAAGAUGUAGAAUCACAAAGUAGCAGUGAUAAUGACUAGGUUCUUUCUUUUUUAACCCCACAAGAGGUGAUUAUUUCCUUGCCAAACCCAAUAUGCUUUUUCUUGUACAGUUGUAAACUACCAUUUUGCUAGUAAAGAGCUUGGAUGAAAGGGUAUUAUGGACCUGGGUUUCAUUUGCGGUUGGCUCCCUUCCCGGUGGAUUCAGGGUGGCUCAUGUGGCGUGGAACAUGUCCAAAUUUGUAGCCAAACCAUUUUACUAGUCUUCCGGUGCUGUAACCUGGUAACCGUUAGUUUCCGAAUUGUUCAACACUGCAGGGGCACAUGAUACAACACCCGUGCUUACUCAACCACAAUUUUGUCUCACUUUAAAUCAAUGCACUUCCCUAGACAUUUUUUAUACUUUUUUUUUU